AAUAGAUACCCCGGUAGUCCACGCCGUAAACGAUGAGUGCUAAGUGUUAGGGGGUUUCCGCCCCUUAGUGCUGCAGCUAACGCAUUAAGCACUCCGCCUGGGGAGUACGGUCGCAAGACUGAAACUCAAAGGAAUUGACGGGGGCCCGCACAAGCGGUGGAGCAUGUGGUUUAAUUCGAAGCAACGCGAAGAACCUUACCAGGUAUUGACAUCCUCUGACAAUCCUAGAGAUAGGACGUCCCCUUCGGGGGCAGAGUGACAGGUGGUGCAUGGUUGUCGUCAGCUCGUGUCGUGAGAUGUUGGGUUAAGUCCCGCAACGAGCGCAACCCUUGAUCUUAGUUGCCAGCAUUCAGUUGGGCACUCUAAGGUGACUGCCGGUGACAAACCGGAGGAAGGUGGGGAUGACGUCAAAUCAUCAUGCCCCUUAUGACCUGGGCUACACACGUGCUACAAUGGACAGAACAAAGGGUAGCGAAACCGCGAGGUUAAGCCAAUCCCACAAAUCUGUUCUCAGUUCGGAUCGCAGU
rnacentral:rRNA from 1 species